AAUCCGAGAGGUGCGGGCAAUCAGCAGGAAAGGCUCACGUUGCGAUUCAGCGUGGGAAUCCUCAGAGACCAUACGCC
rnacentral:rRNA from 1 species